rfam:Triticum aestivum genome assembly, contig: Triticum_aestivum_CS42_TGACv1_scaffold_000047_1AL
AUAGUACUCCCUCUGUUCGGAAAUACUUGUCGUAGAAAUGGAUACAAAUGGAUGUAUCUAGAACUAAAAUACAUCUAGAUACAUCCAUUCCUCGGACAAGUAUUUCCAGACGGAGGGAGUAGUAG